CCUCCUCCCCACCCUCCUGCUCCCUCCCCCCUCCACUCUCCCUGUCUCCCACCUCCUCUGUGGCCCCGCCCCUGCUCCCCCUCUGCCUGGAUCUGGGACCUCUUGGGGAGUCCCGAGGGGGGGGGCAUGAGGAGAAGGCUGGCAGAGAUGAUGAUGAUGAUGAUGAUGAUGAUGAUGAUGAAGGCAGCGCUCCCCCCACCAAGCUCGCUCUGCUGCAGACAAGCCAUGCCUCCUCCUCCUGCCUGUCUCCACGGCAGCAGACGGAAAGCGGCGCCACUCCGCUGCCCAUCCCGCCGGCCAAUCAGACGCAGCGACAGUCCGAGGGGCGGCAGCCGUUGGCCGUGGCGCCGCCCUGCGAUCAACUGUCUGUGCCUGGAGCUCAGGUGUCCCAUCAGCCUCUGCUGCUGCAGCAGAGUCGGUCCGUCAGCUCCGCCCCUGCCACUGUCGCCAUGGAGACCGCUCACCCGGCAACGCCCCCCAUGCAGGUGAAGGAGGAGGGGAGGCGGACCUACGACCCAGAGGACACCUGCAUGGACACUCACCUGGAGGAGGAGGCGGAGGCGGAGCCGUGUGAGCGAAUAGGGGAGGAGCUGGACAUUUCCUUCGACAGCCAGUUCCCCGACCUCAUCUCUGACCUCAUCACCGAGGAGGCCAAUCCCGUUGCGGCUCUCGUCCCCGCCCCCAACCCGGCCGUGUUACCGGCGGGGGUCCGCUACAUGGUGCCCCCCCAGCCCUCACCCUCCUCCUCCUUCCUCCCCUUUCCCCACCCGCUGCCCUCCGCUGCCUCCACCCGCCUCGCCUCCAUCACCGACUUCUCCCCAGAGUGGGCGUACCCCGAGGGAGGGGUGAAGGUAUUGAUCACAGGACCGUGGACUCAGCUGUUGGGUCGAUACUCGUGUGUGUUCGAUCAGAGCGCCGUCCCCGCCUCCCUGAUCCAACCUGGAGUACUACGCUGCUACUGCCCUGCCCACGAGGCCGGUCUGGUGUGUCUGCAGGUUCUGGAGUCCGGAGGUUCUGUGUCCUCUUCGGUUCUUUUUGAGUACCGCGCGAGGAAUGCCAGCUCUCUGCCCAGCUCGCAGCUGGACUGGCUCUCAUUGGACGAUAAUCAGUUCAGGAUGUCCAUCCUGGAGCGGCUAGAGCAGAUGGAGCGCAGGAUGGCCGAGAUGGCCGCCCACGACAACCACAACCAGCAGCAUCAUUAUCAACAUGGCAGCCAGCAGGCCACACCCCCUCCCCCACCCACACCUGAGGACCAUGAACAGUGGUUCGAGAGGAGGAUCAUGGGAGUUUGUGAGAGGAUGAUGAGGGGGGGAAGGUGGGGAGGAGGAGGAGGAGGAGGAAGAGGAGGAGGAGGAGGAGGAGGAGGAGGAGAGAGGCUUCAUCACUCGGUUCGUCAUCGCGGGAUGACACUGCUCCACCUGGCUGCUGCUCAGGGAUACACACACCUGAUACACACUCUGAUCCACUGGAGGAGUGUUAACAGCGACAGUCUGGACUUGGAACAGGAAGUUGAUCCUCUCAACAUCGACCACUUCUCCUGCACGCCGCUGAUGUGGGCGUGUGCUCUGGGCCACCAGAGGGCAGCAGCGCUCCUGUACAAGUGGAACAGUUCUGCUCUGGGGAUCCCUGAUUCGCUGGGCCGCCUGCCGCUCGCCGUGGCUCGCUCCCGAGGACACACCCUGCUCGCCACGGCGUUGGAGGAGCUGCACAUGACGCCCCCGACAGGCACAGCGACCACGCCACAGCCGUCCCCGUGUCCCCCGUCCACCAGCCCCGACACAGGUCUGAGCUCCUCCAGCAGCCUCCCCUCCCCAAGCGACCUCUCCUCCCCCUCACCGAGCUCCGCCUACUCCAGUGGCCCCGCCCCCAUGGACACCUCCCCCUCCUCCCCCUCGUCUCUUUCUUCUUCCUCGCUGCCGGUCUCCCCUCCCUCCCCCCUCUCCCUCCCCCCUCUCCCUGUGUCUAUGUGGGGGGGCCCUCCCAGUGCAGGUUUGAACCCUGGAGGCUCCAGAUACGCUUCGCUUCACCUCAUGGACUACGAGAGCACCUCCCCCCCCCGACACCCCCCCACACACACGGCGGGGGGGCGGCGGCUGCACUCAGCGCUGGAGGAGCAGCUGCGGAGCUACACCGAGAACGAAGGCGAGGAAGAGGAGUUCCUGGAGGAGGAGGUGCUGCAGGUCGGCAUGGCGACGCUGGCGGAGCAGAUCCUCGAGGCGACGCCUGAGCGAAUCAAACAGGAGGACUUUGCACAAGGGGCGGAGUCACCGCUCAGAGACAAGCGGGACAAGCCCGCCAUACAGGACACCUGGCUCGCUACCUACCUCGACACGGUCGACGCCCACACACACUCCCCGCCGAGGCGGGUGUGUCCACCCUCGUCCCUCAGUGCGCUGGCCCUCCAGAGGCUCCGCCCCCCCUCCUCCGCGGCGUGGGCGGAGUUCUUGAACGCCUCGGUCAAUGGGAAGAUAGAGAGAGACUUCGCCCUGCUAACGCUGACGGACGGAGAGCAGCGGGAGCUGUACGAGGCUGCCCGCAUCAUCCAGAGCGCCUUCAGGAGAUACAAGGGUCGGAGGUUAAAGGAGCAGCAGGACAUGGCUGCUGCCGUCAUACAGAGAUGCUACAGGAAAUACAAACAGUAUGCUCUCUACAAGAAGAUGACUCAGGCAGCCAUCUUGAUCCAGUCCAAGUUCAGGUCCUACUACGAGCAGAAGCGCUUCCAGCAGAGCCGGCGGGCGGCGGUCCUCAUCCAGCAGUACUACCGCAGUUACAAGGAGUAUGAGAGGCUGAAGCAGGGGCCGAGGGGGGCCGCCAGCCACAACCCCAAGAUCAAGGGUUCGUUCUUGACAAAGAAACAGGACCAGGCAGCUCGGAAGAUCAUGAGGUUCCUGAGACGUUGCCGGCACAGGAUAAAGGAGCUGAAGCAGACGAGGGAGCUGGAGAGGAGAGGACUGACCACUUAAAGCCUUUCCUUGUUUCCUCUCCUAAGGAGACGAUGUUCAAAGGGACGGAUGGAGACAGACGCCGCUCUGUCCUCACUUCUUCUCACCUGUCUGUCUGCAGCUUCAUGCCUUCAUUACAUCGUGCUGCCCUUUUGCCUGCCUGACAGGCGCCUUUCGGGUGGCCGUAUGCCCUGAUUACUGCCCUCAGGCAGCAGCACAGGCCUUCCUCCACAGAGUCACUCCAGUCCUUGCAGCUCAAAGAGUUAUGCCUUGAGGCGAGACGCUCGUCCUCGGGAUGGAGACUGACCACGAGUCACCGAGGGAUCGACACCUGGCUGUCACCGUCCAUACAGUGCAUGCUGGGAUACCCGUCUGAAGGGGCGGAGCAAGAGCGCGUGGCUGGUUUGACUUUAAAUGUCAGAGGUCAAACUCUUUCAAUACGUCCCGGCAACCUUUUGGGGCAACGGUGACGGACAACGCAGCAGCGAGAACGGCAACAAGUUGCUCCAGAAGUCAGCGGGAUUGCUGCAUCGUCAACAACAACGAGAUGUUUGUUUCACCUCAAACUUCUUCUUCUACUACUUUUAAAUCUUCUUCUUCUACUUUUAAAUCUUCUUCUUCUACUUUUAAAUCUUCUUCUACUACUUUUAAAUCUUCUUCUUCUACUUUUAAAUCUCUUUCUUCUACUUUUAAAUCUUCUUCUACUACGUUUAAAUCUUAUACUUCUACUUUUAAAUCUUCUUCUACUACUUUUAAAUCUUCUUCUUCUACUUUUAAAUCUUCUUCUUCUUCUUUUAAAUCUUCUUCUUCUACUUUUAAAUCUUCUUCUUCUACUUUUAAAUCUUCUUCUUUUAAAUCUUCUUCUUCUUUUAAAUCUUCUUCUUUUAAAUCUUCUUCUUUUAAAUCUUCUUCUUCUUCUUUUAAAUCUUCUUCUUUUAAAUCUUCUUCUUCUUCUUCUUUUAAAUCUUCUUCUUCUUUUAAAUCUUCUUCUUCUUCUUCUUUUAAAUCUUCUUCUUCUUCUUCUUUUAAAUCUUCUUCUUCUUCUUCUUUUAAAUCUUCUUCUUCUUCUUUUAAAUCUUCUUCUUCUACUCUUUCUUCUCCAGCGUUGCUUUUCAUGAGUAAUUGUUGUUCCCGUGAAUCUUAAUGAUGAAUAAACUGCUGUUUGUUUGUU